rnacentral:rRNA from 1 species
CACGCAGUAAACGAUGAAUACCAGUUCUCCGCCGCGAUCGAGCGGAGGGGGACACAGCGAAAGCGUUAAGUAUUCCACCUGGGGAGUACGCCGGCAACGGUGAAACUCAAAGGAAUUGACGGGGGCCCGCACAAGCGGAGGAACAUGUGGUUUAAUUCGAUGAUACGCGAGGAACCUUACCCGGGCUCAAACGGAAGAGGAGCGUGCGUGAAAGCGUGCGGUCCGCAAGGACCUCUUCCGAGGUGC